AGAGUUUGAUCAUGGCUCAGAUUGAACGCUGGCGGUAUGCUUAACACAUGCAAGUCGAACGGUAACAGGCCUUCGGGCGCUGACGAGUGGCGGACGGGUGAGUAACGCGUAGGAAUCUGCCUUAUAGUGGGGGACAACGUGGGGAAACCCACGCUAAUACCGCAUACGCCCUACGGGGGAAAGGAGGGGAUCUUCGGACCUUUCGCUAUGAGAUGAGCCUGCGUUAGAUUAGCUAGUUGGUAGGGUAAAGGCCUACCAAGGCGACGAUCUAUAGCUGGUCUGAGAGGACGAUCAGCCACACUGGGACUGAGACACGGCCCAGACUCCUACGGGAGGCAGCAGUGGGGAAUAUUGGACAAUGGGCGAAAGCCUGAUCCAGCAAUACCGCGUGUGUGAAGAAGGCCUUAGGGUUGUAAAGCACUUUCAAUUGGGAGGAAAACCUGUCGGUCAAUA
rnacentral:rRNA from 1 species